CAUCUCCUGGUCACAGGUGGGUGUGGUGAGCCAGAUGGAGCAGGGCUCCAGUCAGCCUGGGACUG
rnacentral:miRNA from 1 species